rnacentral:misc_RNA from 1 species
GAUGAAGAACGCAGCGAAAUGCGAUAAGUAAUGUGAAUUGCAGAAUUCAGUGAAUCAUCGAAUCUUUGAACGCACAUUGCGCCCGCCAGUAUUCUGGCGGGCAUGCCUGUUCGAGCGUCAUUUCGACCAUCAAGCCCCACGGCUUGUGUUGGGGCUCCCUGCGGCUGUCCGCAGGCCCUGAAAACCAGUGGCGGGCUCGCAGAGUCACACCGAGCGUAGUAGAUCUCUUUCAUCUCGCUCAGGUCGUGCGUGCGGGCGCCUGCCGUAAAACGGGAGCGGCCCCGGCCGCCCACCCACCACACAAGGUUGACCUCGUAUCAGGUAGGAAUACCCGCUGAACUUAAGCAUAUCAAUAAGCGGAGGA